UAUGCGUUUAUGUAUAUAGUUGAAGAUUUGUAAUUUAAAGAUUGUUAUAAUAAAAUUAUAUUUUGUUAUCAGUGUCUACACUGCAUUUUACAUAUUUAUAAUAUUUCUCCAGAUUAAUCUAUCAACGAAUCGAAUUUGAACAUAUCAAAUCUUUUGCAUUAGUUUUAUAAUGAAAACGUCGAUACAAAUCAGAAACUACCACGUAUAUCAAGAUUUUUUAAACUUGCAUAGUCUGCAGGUACAACAAAAAAGAUAAUCAAAAAUCGACAUAUUUUAUUUGUUUUCAACGAUCAAUAUAUUGAUAUGGGUAAAUAAAUAUAAUAUAUUAUAUACACUAUGUUAAAGCUCUAAUCGCAAAAUACUGUUGGUUUGGUUUAUGUCGUGGCAUUUGUGUUUUUAUUGUUAUUAAUAUAUAAAUAUUAUUCAUAUAUAUAGAUUAUUGUUAUACACUCGACAACGUUCUUAACGGUUGCGUUUUUGUAUUUCCCAGUCAGCCGUAAAAGGAAACCUUGCCAGUGAGCAACUCUAUAUUCACUAUUAAUUGUUAUAUAAAUAUUAUCGUAUGAAAGUGUAUUUAAAUUUAUUAGGUACCAUUUAAUUAAUAUCCCUCGAUGAUUUACACAUUGCGAUAUUUCCACAAAUAAUAGAGAUAUCAUAAUUCCGUUUUUUCAUAAGACUCUAGAGACAAGGACUACAAAAUAUAAUUACUCAUAAAAUAUUUCAUAGGUAUUUUAAUUUAAGUUUCCAUGCUCAGCAAAAGAUUUUUCCUCAGCUGAUAAUUACGAUCAUACUGUAUUAAAAUUUAUGGAAAUAGAAUCAGAAAAUCUUAAUUCUACUAAUUCUAACUUCAGGGACACAUAACAAAAAGAAAGUUAUGUCAUUUUGUGAUUUGGACACCUAAAGGUAAAUAAUAUUACUAUACAUUUUUUUAUACUUAUAGACUGUAGUAUAAGAUGUAUAUUUUUGCAAAAUAGUUUUCAAUUUGUUACCUACUGUCUUAAUUCAUAUAUUAAGGGUUUCUGAGUAUAACAUUUAUCGUGAUGAUGCAUUUUGAAAUAAAAAAAUGGAAACACCAUUAGCAGAGUUUUACUAAGAUCACUUAUUACCAAAAAUGAUUAAUCCAAAAUUUCCUUCUAAUAAGUAACAUAUAUUAUUUUGUUUUAUAUAAUUUUAUUUAAAAAUAAAAUGAUAUAAUUAAAGUAUCUAAGUAAUCUAGGUACUUUUUUGUGUAUAUGUUUUAUGUUAGCAUUAUUAAUAAUAUUAUAAGUAGCAUAUUAGAAUUAUUACUAAAUUUAAUGAUAUAUAGGUAAUAUAAAUUGUUUUUACUAUUUUAUGUACAAUAUGAUGUAUCACAUCCUACAUUAAUAUAAUAUACAGUGUACUACUGUACUAUCUAUACUAUCCGUUUUGAGGAUUAUUCGUAGUCUUCCGCGGAAUCAUUUACAUACAUAUAAUAUGUUUACAAAAAUUAUAAAAAUAAUUAUAAAAUUUAAAAUAUUUUUGUAAUAUUAUAUUAUAAAUGUUUAAAUACAAAUAAAAAAUGCUUUUAUUUAAUUUUUCUUAAAUACUAUUUUAAAUUACAUGAUUUAAUUUCUAUAUAAUAAUACAUAAUAAUUAUAACACUUUCGUUUGAAUUUUAAUUAUGCGGAUUUUCCCAGAAUUGAAUUAUCUGUGGAUGCCAAGCCACCCUAUUAUAUUUAAGUGAUGUUUUUAUGUCUCACUAUUUGAAAAAUCAGAUAAGAAAUAACAAAGAAUUAUGAGUUGAUAUGGUUUGAGGAUGAGUAUACAAUAUACAUAAAUACACUAAUGAUAGUUACUAAGCACACAAAGACGAUUUCUUGGAACGAAAAAAAUGUCAAAACACGACUCCUUAAAAAUGGUUCGUUUGCAGAAGCCAUCAGAUGGAUUGCAGUAAUAAAACUGUAACAAGAAUAAUUUAUGUUUAUGAAUAUUGAACAAGAAGUAUGUAUGACACUUAAUCAUGAAGGAAUAAUCGAAGAAUUCAAAGCAUUAGUUCCAAGGAAUCGCUGAAUUAUUAUUAUAACCAUACAACUAUGUGUUUCUGUGCGACCGAUAUUAUUAUUUGUUACUUACAUGGUGUCUAUGUUCAAAUUACUUGAAUUUAAUAUGUUGAUAUGAUAUACAAUUUUCAAUAACAUGUAAAAUUGUUUACUUUAAUUGUAUUAUUUGCAACAAAAUAACAACUACCUAAACUGAAUAGUGAGUAUCUAUAAGAAAAAAUUGUGCCGUACCCUUACUGAAGUUCUACGCGGCGGGCGCGCCUAUGCACAUUAGAUUGCCUAAAUCGACAAACUGGAAAUAAGAAGUUAAAUAAUUCUAUUUCAUACAAAGAAUUUUUCCUGAUAACAAUUACAACAGUGUUGUUAUUAUUUCAAAAUAAUUUUGAGU